AACGAACGCUGGCGGCAUGCCUAACACAUGCAAGUCGAACGAGACCUUCGGGUCUAGUGGCGCACGGGUGCGUAACGAGUGGGAACCUGCCCUUAGGUUCGGAAUAACUCCCCGAAAGGGGUGCUAAUACCGGAUAAUGUCUUCGGACCAAAGAUUUAUCGCCUUUGGAUGGGCCCGCGUUGGAUUAGCUAGUUGGUAGGGUAAAAGCCUACCAAGGCGACGAUCCAUAGCUGGUCUGAGAGGAUGAUCAGCCACACUGGGACUGAGACACGGCCCAGACUCCUACGGGAGGCAGCAGUGGGGAAUAUUGGACGCUGGGCGAAAGCCUGAUCCAGCAAUGCCGCGUAAGUGAGGAAGGCCUUAGGGUUGUAAAGCUCUUUUACCCGGGAUGAUAAUGACAGUACCGGGAGAAUAAGCUCCGGCUAACUCCGUG
rnacentral:rRNA from 1 species